rnacentral:tRNA from 1 species
GCAGUGGUGGUUCAGUGGUAGAACUCUUGACUCCCACAUGGGAGACCUGGGUUCGAUUCCGAGCCAAUGCA